CGAACCGUCCAAACGUUAUUCGGAAUCACUGGGCUUAAAGGGUUUGUAGGCGGCGCUGUUAGUCGGGUGUGAAAGCCCUCGGCUCAACCGAGGAAUUGCGCCCGAUACUGCAGUGCUUGAGGGAGACAGAGGUAAGCGGAACUGAUGGUGGAGCGGUGAAAUGCGUUGAUAUCAUCAGGAACACCGGUGGCGAAAGCGGCUUACUGGGUCUCUUCUGACGCUGAGAAACGAAAGCUAGGGUAGCGAAGGGGAUUAGAUACCCCCGUAGUCCUAGCUGUAAACGUUGAGCACUUGAUCGUGGACCCCCCCAUAGGUUCUCGGUCGUAGCGAAAGUGUUAAGUGCUCCGCCUGGGGAGUAUGGUCGCAAGGCUG
rnacentral:rRNA from 1 species